UACGUAGGGUGCGAGCGUUAAUCGGAAUUACUGGGCGUAAAGCGUGCGCAGGCGGUCUUGUAAGCCAGAUGUGAAAUCCCCGGGCUCAACCUGGGAAUGGCAUUUGGGACUGCAAGGCUUGAGUGCGGCAGAGGAGACUGGAAUUCCUGGUGUAGCAGUGAAAUGCGUAGAUAUCAGGAGGAAUACCGAUGGCGAAGGCAGGUCUCUGGGCUGACACUGACGCUCAUGCACGAAAGCGUGGGGAGCAAACAGG
rnacentral:rRNA from 1 species